UACGUAGGGGGCAAGCGUUGUCCGGAUUUAUUGGGCGUAAAGAGCUCGUAGGCGGUUUGGCAAGUCGGGUGUGAAAACUCCGGGCUCAACUCGGAGACGCCACUCGAUACUGCCAUGACUCGAGUCCGGUAGGGGAGUGCGGAAUUCCUGGUGUAGCGGUGAAAUGCGCAGAUAUCUGGAGGAACACCGGUGGCGAAGGCGGCAUCCUGGACCAAUACUGACGCUGAGGAGCGAAAGCCAGGGGAGCAAACGGG
rnacentral:rRNA from 1 species